ACCAACACCACCCCAUCCGGGGUUGACCAGAGAUCUGGGACUCCCAAUGUCACCCCCACUUUCCUGAGGGACAGGAGGGACACCCCACGAAAGCCACAGCGCUUCCUCUUUCUCUGCCACGCGACACGCGCACACGAGUCACACUGUCACAGGCAGCAAGACAGCCCCGCACGGUACGUGCAUCUCGGCCGACUUCCUGCCAGACAACCGGAUCCAGUCUUUCACAGGAAAUACCCAACUAACAAAUGCUCUGUGUUGGGACUUUCUCUUCAAAACGCCUGGCCUGGUUCAAGGGAAGCAAAAUUGGAAACACCCAUCUCGGUCGGAUACUCGUAAGGGCCUGCACAAGAAACGCCCGGACCAGCAGCAAUGUCUGCGGACACGGAACUGAGGACCCACUUAAGUGUUAACUCGUCUUGGAAACAGAAGGGUUCCGGGCCUGCAACCCUCCCUCUCUGAGAUCUGCAGUUCCGAGCAAAUCAGCGAGGAGACUGCCUGCAGAAUUAGGCCUCAUAACCAGCCUGACAUCAAAACACAAAGAUGUAAUUAUUACCCAUUAAAACUGAACAUGUGUGUAA